rnacentral:piRNA from 1 species
UCUGAGACAGUUUGUGGACAGAGUCAAAG